UUUGCAACGGCAAGUCCUAAACAACCAGCUCCUGAGAAUCCUCCAGGGUGGGAACGCAGCAAAGGUAAUUGGUUGAGCGGUGUGAUUUAGGUAGCUUGCCAUUUU
rfam:Chryseobacterium sp. MOF25P AB670_contig000052, whole genome shotgun sequence.